UUUUUAUUGAGAGUUUGAUCCUGGCUCAGGACGAACGCUGGCGGCGUGCUUAACACAUGCAAGUCGAGCGAUGAAGCUCCUUCG
rnacentral:rRNA from 1 species